rnacentral:rRNA from 1 species
CUGGCCUCAAAUCAGGUAGGGCUACCCGCUGAACUUAAGCAUAUCAAUAAGCGGAGGAAAAGAAACUAACUAGGAUUCCCUUAGUAACGGCGAGUGAACCGGGAUGAGCUCAAAUUUAAAAUCUGGCGUCUUUCAGGCGUCCGAGUUGUAAUCUAUAGAGGCGUUUUCCGCGCCGGACCGCGUCCAAGUCUCUUGGAAUAGAGUAUCAAAGAGGGUGACAAUCCCGUACUUGACGCGACAACCGGUGCUCUGUGAUACGUUCUCAAUGAGUCGAGUUGUUUGGGAAUGCAGCUCUAAAUGGGUGGUAAAUUCCAUCUAAGGCUAAAUAUUGGCGAGAGACCGAUAGCGAACAAGUACCGUGAGGGAAAGAUGAAAAGCACUUUGGAAAGAGAGUUAAACAGCACGUGAAAUUGUUAAAAGGGAAACGAUUGAAGUCAGUCGUGUGAAAGGUAUUCAGCCGUCUCUGGCGGUGUAUUUGCCUUUCACGGGUCAACAUCAGUUUGAUCCGGUAGAAAAAGGCGGGAGGAAGGUGGCACCCUCGGGUGUGUUAUAGCCUCCUGUCAUAUGUGCCGGACCAGACUGAGGAACGCAGCUUGCCGCAAGGCCGGGGUUCGCCCACGUACAAGCGAGGA